GUGUCAGCAGCCGCGGUAAUACGUAGGGGGCAAGCGUUGUCCGGAUUUAUUGGGCGUAAAGAGCGUGUAGGCGGCCAGGUAGGUCGGCUGUGAAAACUGGAGGCUCAACCUCCAGCUGUCGGCCGAAACCAUCUGGCUAGAGUCCGGGAGAGGAGAGUGGAAUUCCUGGUGUAGCGGUGAAAUGCGCAGAUAUCAGGAAGAACACCCGUGGCGAAAGCGGCUCUCUGGAACGGUACUGACGCUGAGACGCGAAAGCGUGGGGAGCGAACAGGAUUAGAAACCCUAGUAGUCC
rnacentral:rRNA from 1 species